AUGUCGGAUCGGCAGCCGUCGGAGGAACCGGAGGAGCAGGUGGACCUGGAGGGAGACGACGACGUCAUGGACGACGAGGAAGGGUACCGCCGCCGCCGCCACGGUGGUGAGGACUCUGAUGAGCCGGAGGACGAGCCCGAGGAGCCUCAAAUCGAGGUGGAGGGCGAUGGCGACGGAGAUGGCCGGGAGGAGGACGCCGGUAUGGCGGUUGCCAGUGACGAACCUGCCGCGGCAAGUGGUGACGAGAUGGAGAAGGGUGAUGAGCCUGAGGACGAAGAAGAGAAGAUGAAGUGGGAGGAGCUCCUCGCACUACCCCCGCAGGGCUCGGAGGUAUUCGUCGGGGGCCUCCCCCGAGACACCACCGAGGAGGACCUCCGCGAGCUAUGCGAGCCAUUGGGCGAAAUCUUUGAGGUGAGGUUGAUGAAGGAUAAGGAAACAAAGGAAAACAAAGGAUUUGCCUUUGUCACAUUUACUGCCAAGGACGUGGCGCAGCGUGCUAUCGAAGAACUGCAUGACAAGGACCACAAGGUAGGGAGAACACUGCGAUGCUCAUUGUCCCAGGCCAAGCACAGGUUAUUUGUUGGCAAUGUACCCAAAGGGUUGAGUGAGGAUGAGCUGACGAGCAUAAUCAAAGGGAAGGGGCCAGGGGUCGUGAAUAUUGAGAUGUUCAAGGAUUUGCAUGACCCAAGCCGUAACCGUGGGUUCCUCUUCGUUGAGUACUAUAACCAUGCUUGCGCAGAUUAUGCCAGGCAGAAAUUGUCAUCACCAGACUUUAAGGUUGAUGGAAGCCAGUUGACUGUUAGCUGGGCUGAACCUAAGGGUUCAUCAUCGUCAUCAUCAGAUUCUUCUUCAUCUGCUGCUCAGGUGAAGACUAUAUAUGUGAAGAACCUGCCGGAGAAUGUUUCUAAAGAGAAAGUUAAGGAUCUCUUUGAAGUUCAUGGAGAGGUCACAAAAAUUGUUUUACCGCCUGCUAAGGCCGGGCAUAAGAGGGAUUUUGGGUUUGUUCACUUUGCUGAAAGAUCAAGUGCACUGAAGGCAGUUAAAGGAAGUGAAAAAUACGAAAUCGAUGGGCAAGUGCUUGAAGUUUCCAUGGCCAAACCUUUGAGUGAUAAGAAACCUGACCACUCGUUCAAGCCUGGUGGAGCUCCCAGCUAUCCUCUUCCACCUUAUGGUGGCUACAUGGGAGACCCAUAUGGUGCCUAUGGUGGCGGCCCUGGAUUCAACCAGCCUAUGAUCUAUGGUAGAGGACCAGCACCAGCUGGAAUGAGGAUGGUGCCGAUGGUGCUCCCUGAUGGUCGCCUUGGCUAUGUUCUGCAACAACCUGGUGGAAUGCCGCCUCCACCCCCUCCGCGACGUGGUGACCGGCGGGAUGGCGGUGGCCGAGGUGGCGAAGGAAGCCAGCGGCGUUAUCGGCCCUACUAG
rnacentral:rRNA from 1 species